GACUCGGCGAAGGAGGUUUAUGAAAAAAAUAGGACGAUACGAAUGGCGACCAUGCGCCCAUUAAGUCAGUAGUAUGGUGUUCAUUAAGUUGAUAUCCAACUUAAAAAUCUAUAAGUGGAGCUUGAAGAACAUGUUUCAGUUGCAGCAUAUUAUUGGACGUCCAUUCUGAGCUCCAAAUUCUGGGAGGGCCUACUGACAUCACCUACAGAAGAUCGGAAGCAAUUUCAUACGAGGUGGAAUUCCAAGUUGUUCGAACACUAAACCGUGGGGCUCCUGAGGGUGAUGUUAACCUGCAUUCUUCAGUCAUUCCAAUCCAAAGGUUCCAGCAAGCCCAACAAACCCACGAGGGACAAGCGGUAGAACAUGGAUGGAUGGAUGAAAUGAUUUGUUUGUUCUUUUUAAGGAAAAUUAUUAUUUUUUAUUUUUUUGGAAAACAUUUUUAUAGUGGCUCAUUGGUUGUUAC